UCCGGCUUGACGCCGGCAGUCCCCCGAGAGUCCUCAGCUUGACCUGUUAGUAACACGGGGCAAGGGUUGCGCUCGUUGCGGGACUUAACCCAACAUCUCACGACACGAGCUGACGACAGCCAUGCAGCACCUGUGCACGUGUCCCGAAGGAGGGCCCUGCUUUCACAGGGCUUUCACGUGCAUGUCAAACCCAGGUAAGGUGGGGAUGACGUCCUUGCUAGGUAA
rnacentral:misc_RNA from 1 species